CCCGGGUCACUCUGAGGCACACAGUCCAGGGACUCACCAGCCCCGCCUUACAGGUGGAGGCCUGGGGGAGGCUCACUGAGUCCCAGCUGAGGUGCUCCAUCGCCCUGAACCCAGAACUCAGCUCCUCUCUGGCCCUCAUCAUGCAGGGACACCAUCGACCCCACAGGACCUGAUGGUGAAGGUGGUGCAGAAUAUUCCCAGGAUGUUGGUGUACCUUCCUCCUCAGCUCAACAUCCGCUCUCAG